AGUGAACGCUGGCGGUAGGCCUAACACAUGCAAGUCGAACGGCAGCACAGUAAGAGCUUGCUCUUACGGGUGGCGAGUGGCGGACGGGUGAGGAAUACAUCGGAAUCUACUUUUUCGUGGGGGAUAACGUAGGGAAACUUACGCUAAUACCGCAUACGACCUACGGGUGAAAGCAGGGGAUCUUCGGACCUUGCGCGAUUGAAUGAGCCGAUGUCGGAUUAGCUAGUUGGCGGGGUAAAGGCCAACCAAGGCGACGAUCCGUAGCUGGUCUGAGAGGAUGAUCAGCCACACUGGAACUGGGACACGGUCCAGACUCCUACGGGAGGCAGCAGUGGGGAAUAUUGGACAAUGGGCGCAAGCCUGAUCCAGCCAUACCGCGUGGGUGAAGAAGGCCUUCGGGUUGUAAAGCCCUUUUGUUGGGAAAGAAAAGCAGCAGGUUAAUACCCCGCUGUUCUGACGGUACCCAAAGAAUAAGCACCGGCUAACUUCGUGC
rnacentral:rRNA from 1 species